UAGGGAAUCUUCCGCAAUGGGCGAAAGCCUGACGGAGCAACGCCGCGUGAGUGAUGAAGGUCUUCGGAUCGUAAAACUCUGUUAUUAGGGAAGAACAAAUGUGUAAGUAACUAUGCACGUCUUGACGGUACCUAAUCAGAAAGCCACGGCUAACUACGUGCCAGCAGCCGCGGUAAUACGUAGGUGACAAGCGUUAUCCGGAAUUAUUGGGCGUAAAGCGCGCGUAGGCGGUUUUUUAAGUCUGAUGUGAAAGCCCACGGCUCAACCGUGGAGGGUCAUUGGAAACUGGAAAACUUGAGUGCAGAAGAGGAAAGUGGAAUUCCAUGUGUAGCGGUGAAAUGCGCAGAGAUAUGGAGGAACACCAGUGGCGAAGGCGACUUUCUGGUCUGUAACUGACGCUGAUGUGCGAAAGCGUGGGGAUCAAACAGG
rnacentral:rRNA from 1 species